UGGUGUCUCUCUGGAGGAAGCAGGGCGGUCAUCUGUGGAGGCCAGGUAGUGUGUGUGUGUGUGUAUAGGCUAAGUGACUGGACACAAGGCAGUGUACGCCAUCAACAGCUCCAUCAACCUCCACGCCCACAGCAUUCAUCUGCCAGCCACUCAGUCUACUAGCCAGCCAACCAUUUCUGUUUUGCCUUAUUCUGUGGGCUUGUGUUAGAUCAGGAGGCAUACGUAAGCAUCAUGCAUGAUGUUUUUCACAUGCGCUCUUACUACAUUUUGGAAGCGAACAACACUAUAUUUUUAACUGGAAACAGUAAGAUGACAGAGGCUGACAAAAGAACCCUUAUUUCCGCUUACCGCGAACUUUUUCUUAUGUGUUAUUUAGUAAACAAAAUAGGUAAAAAUUAAAAUGUCAUUACAUCCCUUGAAUCUAAACAUGUGCAAACCUUAAUGUAUGCAUGCUUCUUAAGACAUACAGUUCGUCUGCUGAGAAAAUCCAAAGCUUAGCUGAGCAUUGCCUAUAUGAUGUUGAACCACUCGCCGGGGCAACCAAUGAGGCAUCGUGUGUCAUCUACGUCGGUGACAGUCAUGCAUCUGUUCAACAUGUCAGACACAGUGUCAGCGUGGUGGGUGAGCUUGUUAGCUUAGCAUGCUAGAGUCAUGCCCCUGUCAUCAUUGUUGAAUAAGUAAAUGGCGGGGCGGAGAUGUCACGAGAAACAGACAGCGGAGCUAUGACGUGUGCUGCAUUCAACAUGAGUCAAAUAGUAUUUGAAAAUACUUUCUUGAAGGAUGGGAUUUGCAACAAUUGAGAGAAAAGAGCAGAACGUUUAGAUUUAGCAACAGGCAGAAGUCCAGUUGGGAUCAUUUUAUAUGAAAAAUAACUUACUUCACAAUAUGUUAAUUGCUCUUUUGUGGUAAAUCGCACCCAUCUCAUAAUUAAACUGCAAACAUUACU